CACUCUGGUGGCUUAGUGGUUAGAACAUCAGCCUCAGAUGUGGGAGGUCAUAGGUUCAAUCCCCAGUCGAGUCA